rnacentral:tRNA from 4 species
GCGGUGGUAGUUCAGUGGUAGAAUAUCUCCUUCCCAAGGAGAAGGUCGCCGGUUCAAGUCCGGUCCACCGCUCUA